rnacentral:rRNA from 1 species
GAGUUUGAUCUUGGCUCAGGAUUAACGCUAGCGGCAGGCCUAAUACAUGCAAGUCGAACGGGAUUAAUUGUAGCAAUACGAUUAUGAGAGUGGCGCACGGGUGCGUAACACGUAUGCAACCUACCUAUAACUGGGGGAUAGCCUCCCGAAAGGGAGAUUAACACCGCAUAACAUUAUGAAGUGGCAUCACUUUAUAAUUAAAUCUACGGAGGUUAUAGAUGGGCAUGCGUCCGAUUAGCUAGUUGGUGAGGUAACGGCUCACCAAGGCUCCGAUCGGUAGGGGGUCUGAGAGGAUGAUCCCCCACACUGGUACUGAGACACGGACCAGACUCCUACGGGAGGCAGCAGUAAGGAUAUUGGACAAUGGGCGCAAGCCUGAUCCAGCCAUGCCGCGUGAAGGAUGAAGGCCCCUAUGGGUCGUAAACUUCUUUUAUACGGGACAAAACCCCCCGAUGCGUCGGGGGUUGAUGGUACUGUAAGAAUAAGGGUCGGCUAACUUCGUGCCAGCAGCCGCCGCAGUAAC